rnacentral:lncRNA from 1 species
CGUGCAUGCAAAGUAGAGGGUCUGUAUAUCCAAGCCUCCGUGAAGGUUUAUAUCAGAUAAUUUAAGAUUUAAUCUCUGAUUCUACUAUAAUUCAGAUAAAAAAUUGAUCCUUAAAUAAGUAGAAUAUUAGAAAAAAAAUUUUAGAUGCAACCUUGGUAUUCUGGAGGGAAACUAUUUUCUUCCCUUCAUAAAGAGCCUAUCAUGCCUCUAUAAUGCUUUGAAUCAACAUUUUUAUCAUGUUCAUCUUUAUCUAAUUUACA